CCUACGGGAGGCAGCAGUGAGGAAUAUUGGUCAAUGGACGCAAGUCUGAACCAGCCAAGUAGCGUGCAGGAUGACGGCCCUAUGGGUUGUAAACUGCUUUUGUACGGGGAUAAAACCCGCCACGUGUGUCGGGUUGCAAGUACCGUACGAAUAAGGAUCGGCUAACUCCGUGCCAGCAGCCGCGGUAAUACGGAGGAUCCGAGCGUUAUCCGGAUUUAUUGGGUUUAAAGGGUGCGUAGGCGGUUCGUUAAGUUAGGUGGGAAAUUCCGCGGCUCAACCCAAGCACUGCAUUUGAUACUGGCAGGCUAGAGUUCAGUUGAGGUAGGCGGAAUGCGUGGUGUAGCGGUGAAAUGCAUAGAGAUCACGAAGAACCCCGAUUGCGAAGGCAGCUUACCAAACUGCGACUGACGUUGAGGCUCGAAAGUGUGGGUAUCAAACAGGAUUAGAUACCCGAGUAGUC
rnacentral:rRNA from 1 species